rfam:Oryza nivara chromosome 6, whole genome shotgun sequence.
AAAAAGACAAACCCUGGAUUUCCGUGUCCAACGUUUAACUGUCCGUCUUAUAUGAAAUUUUUUUAUAAUUAGUAUUUUCAUUGUUGUUAGAUGAUAAAACAUGAUUAAUACUUUAUGCGUGACUUGUCUUUUUAAUUUUUUUUGUAAUUUUCUCAAAUAAAACAGACGGUCAAACGUUGGACACGGAAAUAUAAGGUUCGUCUUAUU